AUUGAACGCUGGCGGCAUGCCUUACACAUGCAAGUCGAACGGCAGCACGGGAGCAAUCCUGGUGGCGAGUGGCGAACGGGUGAGUAAUAUAUCGGAACGUGCCCAGUAGUGGGGGAUAACUGCUCGAAAGAGCAGCUAAUACCGCAUACGACCUGAGGGUGAAAGGGGGGGAUCGCAAGACCUCUCGCUAUUGGAGCGGCCGAUAUCAGAUCAGCUAGUUGGUGGGGUAAAGGCCUACCAAGGCAACGAUCUGUAGUUGGUCUGAGAGGACGACCAGCCACACUGGGACUGGGACACGGCCCAGACUCCUACGGGAGGCAGUAGUGGGGAAUUUUGGACAAUGGGCGCAAGCCUGAUCCAGCAAUGCCGCGUGCAGGAAGAAGGCCUUCGGGUUGUAAACUGCUUUUGUCAGGGAAGAAAUCCUCUAGGUUAAUACCCUUGGGGGGAUGACGGUACCUGAAGAAUAAGCACCGGCUAACUACGUGCCAGCCGCCGCCGUAACAC
rnacentral:rRNA from 1 species